AAGACCUUGCGCUUUUGGAGCGGCCGAUGCCUGAUUAGCUUGUUGGUAAGGUAAAGGCUUACCAAGGCUUCGAUCAGUAGCUGGUCUGAGAGGACGGCCAGCCACACUGGGACUGAGACACGGCCCAGACUCCUACGGGAGGCAGCAGUGGGGAAUUUUGGACAAUGGGGGAAACCCUGAUCCAGCCAUGCCGCGUGAGUGAAGAAGGCCUUCGGGUUGUAAAGCUCUUUCAGCCGGAACGAAACGGUUACGGAUAAUACCCGUGACUACUGACGGUACCGGAAGAAGAAGCACCGGCUAACUACGUGCCAGCAGCCGCGGUAAUACGUAGGGUGCGAGCGUUAAUCGGAAUUACUGGGCGUAAAGCGUGCGCAGGUGGUUUUGUAAGUCAGAUGUGAAAGCCCCGGGCUCAACCUGGGGACU
rnacentral:rRNA from 1 species